rnacentral:rRNA from 1 species
CCUACGGGAGGCAGCAGUGAGGAAUAUUGGUCAAUGGGCGAGAGCCUGAACCAGCCAAGUCGCGUGAGGGAGUACUGCCCUAUGGGUUGUAAACCUCUUUUGUCGGGGAGCAAAAUCCGGACGUGUCCGGCUGUGAGAGUUACCGAAGAAAAAGCAUCGGCUAACUCCGUGCCAGCAGCCGCGGUAAUACGGAGGAUGCGAGCGUUAUCCGGAUUUAUUGGGUUUAAAGGGUGCGCAGGCGGAUUUUUAAGUCAGCGGUAAAAUCGUGGGGCUCAACCCCAUCCAGCCGUUGAAACUGGGGAUCUAGAGUGUGCGAGAGGUAUGCGGAAUGCGUGGUGUAGCGGUGAAAUGCAUAGAUAUCACGCAGAACCCCGAUUGCGAAGGCAGCAUACCGGUGCACAACUGACGCUCAGGCACGAAAGCGUGGGUAUCGAACAGGAUUAGAUACCCCUGUAGUC